rnacentral:lncRNA from 10 species
AGCUUUGAAGGUACUUACUUCAUUUUAUUGCUUAUUGUUGAAGUUGAAUCAUGUGUUAUUUUUAGGGGUUUUUUUUUGUUAUUAGUUUUUCAGAGGACAGAGUCUGACUCUGUCACCCAGGCUGGAGUACAGUGGUUCCAUCAUAGCUUACUGCAGCCUCAAACUCCUGUGCUCAAGAGAUCCUCCCACUUAAGCCUUCUGAGUAACUGGGACUGCAGGCAUACCUGGCCAAUUUUUUAAAAACAAUUUUGUAGAGACAGGGUCUCACUGUGUUGCUCAGGCUAGUCUCAAAACUCUUAUCCUCAACCUAUCCUCCCUCUGUGGCCUCCCAAAGUGCUGGGAUUACAGACAUGAGCCACCACACCCAGCCUAUUUUUAGUUAUGCUCUUUGUAGUGUUCUUGGGUUUACCAUCUUUAACAAUUAAUUUAACUUAGCACAUUACAAUACCUCAUAUAAGUUAUGUUUCAUCUUUGCUGAUAUAUCAAUGUAAGAUGGUAACUAAAUUAGACCUCAUAAUCAGUAGCUAGUUCUUCCACCACCAGACCAUACUAAUUAUGCUGUGACACUGUCAGAAGUGCAUGAUGAUGUCCACACUGUACCUGUUUUUAAUCAUUUCCUCACUUUAAAACUGUCAUCAAAAAUGCUGUUUUUCUCUUUUGUAGAAUCAUUCUGGUUUCUUCCUAAUAAGUGUUUUUGGAGUUGUUUUCUUAUGGUUUCUCUUGGUUUUAGCAUUGAUCAUUGUAGGAAAUCUAAUUGAAAUUAAUGGUAUAUAUCAUCUUUUUACUCUUUAACACUUUGCAAUGCUUUAAUAAUUUUUAAUGAAAAUAGUAUAUUACUUUUAGGAGCACAUAUUUACCCAAAUACAGUCGAUAGUUUUUCGAAGUAGAGGUCCUUGGGAGAUCUGGUUUAAGAAGUAGAGAAAAAUGGGCAGUGGUUAGUACAUAGUUGUUUUUAAGUGGGGAUUUUGAAAUUCUUAAGGGUACGCAACACAAUUUUUAUCAGAGUUGGUUUGGAGCAUGCAGUAGAAACCUGACUAAAGAGUGGCUUAAACAAAUUUGUUUUCCCCCCUUCAGGUAAUAAAAAAUCUUAAAGAAACCACUGCAGUAUAUGCAGUGGCUCAGGUGUCGUAAAGGCCCAGACUCCUUGUGACUUCAUGCUCCGCCUUCCUUCAUAGGUGGCUGUCAUCCUCAUAGACCUAAGAUCCUUUCUACAGUUUCCAACAGCACACUUUUUGCCAGGCAGACACAAGAUGAAAUUCAGAGAACAAAAGGUAAAGAAUUGAGUUUGCCCUUUUAAGCAGCUUUCCCUGAAUUCUACCCCUAUGCCUUCCAGUUACAUCUCAUUGGACAGAAUUGUCACUUGACCACUUUUAUCACCUAGGAGAUAUAAUUUUUUAGCUGCAACUAUUGCCAUCCCAAAUAAACGAAACAUUCUGUUAGAAAGAAAGGGAGACUGGUUAUAGAGCAGGUAGCUGGUAGUGUCUGCCAUUCUAGUUCAUUGAGCAUUUUAAUUUUUCUUUAUGAUUUGUUGUUAAAAGUUCUGCAUUUUCUAGUAGUAAAAGAUUGAUUAACUCAAGACCAGCAUUUGCUAAUUUUUAUAAAUUAUAAAUGAUUUUGGUUUAAAUGAGUGAAGUUUUAUUCUGUUGGUUUUACCUUUUUGUUUAUAAAAGUAUUCAACUACUCUAAUUAUUGCAACACUUUUUAAAAAUCAUGUCACUGCAUAUUGCAUGAAAUUCUGACUAUCAUGUUUGGAAUUUUAUUAAUAAAAAUAAAAUAUGUC